UACGUAGGUGGCAAGCGUUGUCCGGAAUUACUGGGUGUAAAGGGAGCGUAGGCGGGAAAUCAAGUUGGAUGUGAAAUACUCAGGCUCAACCUGGGGGCUGCAUCCAAAACUGAUUUUCUUGAGUGAAGUAGAGGCAGGCGGAAUUCCUAGUGUAGCGGUGAAAUGCGUAGAUAUUAGGAGGAACACCAGUGGCGAAGGCGGUCUGCUGGGCUUUAACUGACGCUGAGGCUCGAAAGCGUGGGGAGCAAACAGG
rnacentral:rRNA from 1 species